AGAGACUUAGGAUAAACUAGACCAAGAGCCUUCAAAGCCCUAAGCAGGAGUUAAAAUCUCCUAGUCCCUG
rnacentral:tRNA from 1 species